rnacentral:lncRNA from 1 species
GGGGGGUGAGGGGGGAAUAGGACCUUGAAAAUUUGUUAAAUAUAAAUUUGACUGCUUUUUGCUGCACUAUCGCAAGACUAUUGAUAUCAGUUUUUGUGUACGGAUCCCAAACUAUGCAUACAUAUUCCAGCUUAGGCCUAAUUAUGCAUGGAUGCAUGCACGUGUGGGCAUCUAUCUCAACAUGUUCCAAGAAAUUUGUGUGGGAAGCCAGUGGAUAUGUUUUGUGGCUGAUCUGCCAAACUAUGGCCGCUCUUGCCUGAACAAAAUUAGCCUGCAGACUCCUAUACGUGAUAUGUGUGGACUGCCAUUUUUGGAAGCAGCAGCUGUCCCUACAUAACUGCAUCGCUCUGAAAGAUAUUUUAUCACGACAGAAGUUAAAAACUCUUUAUUUGGCUUUUGCAUGCUCGUUCAUGCUUUAUUACACAGCCACUUGUUGUUGUCAAGUUUUAUUCAGGCCACUGUGAAAGCUUUGUUCGUAUCUUUCUGUAGUUCGGUUUUCGUCAUCAUUAUUCGGGGUGGAUAUAUAGUGUAUGUGCACAUAUAUGGGUAAUGUAUUCUAUUUCUUCGAGAUAGACCUGGCAAAAGUUGUAGCUGCAGUGAAUGGUCAAAGAAGAAAAAAAAUGACAUGUCUCUCUAACCUGUCUCGAAGCUUGCUUGACCUUGCUUGACUAAAGCAUAGUUGGGCGGUGGGGGGACGUGGGACCACAGAACCUAUCGUAAUAUUGUCUGACGAAAAGCUGUCCACGUAGGGGGAUGCGGUUACACGUUUGAAACCUCUGCAUCCUGUUGCUGAGCUGUCCAAGAGUCAGUAAAGCAUGCAGCCGUCGUCAACCCCUCUUGUCUGGAGUGUCGAGGGCUGUGUCCUUCCAGCAACAUCAUUCAAAGGUUCGAGUUCAGAUACUACGCAUCUUUUCUGUCAGCCUGCCUCGGUCCCACGCUUGUGGUUUGGCACUCGGAUUGACUUGUCCCUGUAAUAUUUCUUUCCCUUAUUGGUCAAUUUUUUGUGCCGCAAGGGAAGUGGACAGGCUAUAUAUUUUAGCCAUAAGCGAUCGGGAAAGUAAUCAGUAAUUUUCUUGAAAUUAUACUUGCUUCAAGUAAUUCAUUACAUUACUAAAUUAUCAAUACAUAAAAUUAAUUCAUUAAAAUACUCAUUGCAGUGAAAAAUUGUUCAAUUAUUAUAAUUUCAUUACUGGCAAGUCUGCUCUAUGCGCAUCGAAGUGUCGAGUCGUCAUGCAUCUUUGUUGUGAAACAGACAUACAGUAAAGUGGGCCCGUAGCCAGGGGGGCUUGUUUGUUCUUUAGCGAGCCAGGCAAGAGUCAGGUUUAUUUAGCAGCAGAUGCAAUGCUCAGCAAUUUCGUUUCGACUCUAGGCGUAAGCAGCGCGCAGUGCCUUCAGAACAGCGUGGAUGCUAUGAUCGUGUCUUUAGCAACCAUGUUUUCGUCCCCAGUGGAAUCGGCGCUCGGUAGCUUCGUUUUGACUUCAGGCAAUGCACGCACAAUGCCACGAAAGUUAAUCAUGAUGAAAACUGUUCAAGCUGAAAAGCUUCAGCCGCUGUCCGCAUGCUGCAUAAAACUCGCUUACUACAUUGUGGUGAACGAACGAUCGAUUGCCAGCCAUUUUUUCAGGUGAAAAAAUUACCGUCACAUGUGCGUGGUGGUAUUGGUGGUGGUGUUUUGUAAUAAUGGAUGGGUUCAGAGCAUGUUUCGGCUAAAAACACGGGGGGUCUUGAGCCACGGUCACUUUGUGAACGGUCACAAUUGACGAAAAUUGGGGCUUUCACACUGCUCCUAUACAAAAUAAGUGCUGGACUUGCAUAUUCAUCAAGAAAACGAAAGUGCAUUGCUGUAAUGAACACCCGUUCCUUGGUUUCUUGAUAUUUUCAAUAAUUCGGCAUUCGGUUAAUUCUGACUUUUUUUCCGGUCCCGUGAAAUCCGAAUUAACACGCUUUUACUGUAAUGCAGGGACAAACCGGCAGGCAUAGAAACUGAGCCAUGUGGACCCUGACAUGCCUUAAGCCACAAAAAUGUGUUACUGUGCUCACUUGUCCAUUAAAAAGUGCCGCUUUAACAGCCAGUAUUGCCACCAAUUGGCAAAAAAGUCCAGACAAGUCACUCUCAGCCUUCAUACGCAUGCACUCGUUACAAGGCACGCUUGCGAGUGUGCUCAGUGCAGCCACUGUGGGUCCACUAAUUGUGCAAUGACUAAUCGAGUGCUGCUGCCAUGUGACUUUCUCACUGAGCACAGACUACAGAAGUAAUAAUAAUAAUUGCUGGGGUUUAACGUGCUAAAACCAUGAUAUGAUUAUGAGGCACGCCUAGUGGAGGGCUUUGGAAAUUUUGAUCACCUGGGGUUCUUUAACUUGCACCUAAAACCAAGUAUACACGUGCCUCUAGCAUUUUCGCCUCCACUGAAAAUGCGACCGCUACAGCUGGGAUCGAACCCGCGACCAUCUGGUCAGCAGCCAAGCAUCAUAAGCACUACGGAAGUGUGGAUGCAACUUGCAGUGGCUUUGUUAAACUCUAAGUGCAAUGCGCAAUUUUCUUAAAUUAAGAAACUGUGUAAAAUGAUAGAAAUAAGCGGUAUGUAGUCAAACUAGCUGUCAGUACUCAGACAACCGUAAUACUCGCUUUGCGGAACCCACUUUGAGAACUCCCUGCCAACAGCAGAUUCAUGGGGUGACAGUGGCGAAGGAGGGCGGGGUGUGUCUGUAGGGCCAGUAAUCACCUUCCCCUCUUGAAAACUGGGAAGGAAUGACAUUUUGACACCUGUUACAGAUAGAAACUGCAUGUGCCACGCUCACCUUGUCACUGAUGCUUCACCACAACGCACGUCUUGUGUGUUGCAGUGAAGCCUGCAUGCGACAUUCCAUGUCAACAGCCCGAUUGAUGGCUGCUCUUGUGUUGCUUACAUUGGAGCAGCAUUUAUGGGUUGCAUAUGCAGUAAGAAGUUGCAGGAAUCCUGUUGUACUCUUCCAAGUGAUCCCAAACUCCAUUUUGUCUACUCCAAACCUGCUGGAUGCACAAUUUUUUCAGCUCCAAUCCUGCUCCUAAACACACUUCCUUCUGCUCCAAAUCUGCUUCAAGAUAGCUCUUUUCCUGCUUCAAAAAUUGCUACGAAUUCUAAACUGGCCUGACCACCACUUUCACAAAGUGGGCAUGUACAUGAAAUGACAGUGGCAGGUAUUAGCUUGCUCAUUUUAUUUUGUUAGUUCCGACUGCGUUCAGUCAAUGCAGGCAUUUGAAUUAUUGCAGUUCUGUGGUUCCUAAGUGAUACAAAGCCUCAUUGCAAGUACACAUCUUGAUGUCGUCAUUACAAUUCUGUGUAUACACACACAGAAGCUGGUCUUGUACACUGCUAUUCAUUUUUGCUUUCAAAAAGGACAAAACUUUUUAGUUGAGAUGCCCUUUUGUGUGAAUAUAAUGAUCUGACACAGCACGAUUAAACACGUGGAUCUUUCUUCAUACUUGACACAAAAUGUCUUGUAAAAAUAAAUUUGUUGCAUAAAACAUUUAUUUGUCAACUAAAAUACCUUGUGCACAUUAUUACAUUGUAACAUCACUAUACAAAAUACACAUUUGAACAGAAAUGGUCCUAUACAAUUGUUAUUGCAACAAGCACACAAUUUCCCGUAUGGGUAAAACUCAUAUACAGUAAAUCUAUUUAAAAACAUUCCUACAGUGUCCUACUAGUAGUAGUAGUAGUAGUUAAAAUAGGUUAUUUUGAUAUAGCAAACUUGUAAAUAGGGCUAAGAUUGAGAGCGUGCUAUUAACUUUUUAAAAUGUCUCCUAUGUCCUCUUCUAAACAUUGAUGUCUUUUCUCU